UACGGGGGGGGCAAGCGUUGUUCGGAAUUACUGGGCGUAAAGGGCUCGUAGGCGGCCAACUAAGUCCGACGUGAAAUCCCUCAGCUUAACUGGGGAACUGCGUCCGAUACUGGAUGGCUUGGAUUUGGGAGAGGGAUGCGGAAUUCCAGGUGUAGCGGUGAAAUGCGUAGAUAUCUGGAGGAACACCGGUGGCGAAGGCGGCAUCCUGGACCAAUAUUGACGCUGAGGAGCGAAAGCCAGGGGAGCAAACGGG
rnacentral:rRNA from 1 species